rnacentral:rRNA from 1 species
GAUGAACGCUGGCGGCGUGCCUAAUACAUGCAAGUCGAGCGAACGGACGAGAAGCUUGCUUUUCUGAUGUUAGCGGCGGACGGGUGAGUAACACGUGGAUAACCUACCUAUAAGACUGGGAUAACUUCGGGAAACCGGAGCUAAUACCGGAUAAUAUUUUGAACCGCAUGGUUCAAAAGUGAAAGACGGUCUUGCUGUCACUUAUAGAUGGAUCCGCGCUGCAUUAGCUAGUUGGUAAGGUAACGGCUUACCAAGGCAACGAUGCAUAGCCGACCUGAGAGGGUGAUCGGCCACACUGGAACUGAGACACGGUCCAGACUCCUACGGGAGGCGGCAGUAGGGAAUCUUCCGCAAUGGGCGAAAGCCUGACGGAGCAACGCCGCGUGAGUGAUGAAGGGCUUCGGAUCGUAAAACUCUGUUAUUAGGGAAGAACAUAUGUGUAAGUAACUGUGCACAUCUUGACGGUACCUAAUCAGAAAGCCACGGCUAACUACGUG